UACAUUGGUUGCAAACGUUGCUCGGAAUUAUUGGGCCUAAAGCAUCCGUAGCCGGUUCUGCAAGUCCCCCGUUAAAUCCAGCUGCUCAACAGAUGGGCCGCGGAGGAUACUACAGAGCUAGGAGGCAGGAGAGGCAAGCGGUACUCAGUGGGUAGGGGUAAAAUCCGUUGAUCCAUUGAAGACCACCAGUGGCGAAGGCGGCUUGCCAGAAUGCGCUCGACGGUGAGGGAUGAAAGCUGGGGGAGCAAACCGG
rnacentral:rRNA from 1 species